GGCGGUUCUCACGUGAUGCACCCCAGAAUCCGGCUCACUCCUCUUGGGUUCCUGGGUGCUUCACCAGAGAACUGCC
rfam:Myotis lucifugus cont2.43599, whole genome shotgun sequence.